CCUCAGUGUUGCUUGGUCGUCGUCAAUGCAUGGUUGAGUGUGUUUUUAAAGUCGUGGAGAGGGUUCCUUUGUCCCUAGCGGAUUGGCAUGCUGCUUUAGCUAUUGUCACCUCUGCUGGAGAGCUGGAUUGGAACAAGAGACACUUUCCUCCCAUUUGUCCUGCUGCUGGCAAACCUUACACAGGCCUCUUCUAUGCUGCCAAUGACCUUGUUGGACGGACUGCAGGUGCUCAGAGGACAUGGGGCUGCUGUGCCAAACCAGUUUGUUCGGAUGGGGCUGGUGUGAGAAGAUGGAACACAUGAGGAGAGGUUGCCUCGAGGGAAGCCCGGUGGCAAACUCCUACAGUAUGACCGGUUUCGAUCUCGUCACUCGCCUGGGACACUCUGUGCAUAAUAAAGAUAAACUUACUUGCUCUAGCACCAAUCGAUAUUGUAAUCCACAGUUACAUUCACUGAGCUAUCUCUCGCUUGCAUGUCAUUAAAACAAAAAAUGCCCUUAGACAUGUAUAUAAAUAAGUCAAAUGUACAAGUAUUGGCGAAUCUUCACAGGGAUCAUACUCUAGGUGGUUUGUUAUAAUAUAAUAUAAUUUGUGUAUAAUUUUUGUUAUUAAAUUAACAUUUUUGUGUGCGAGUGGAUAAUUAGAUUUUCAUGCCCAAUAAUUAUGCAAAUACUAUUUACAUGACUGAGA